AUUGAACGCUGGCGGCAUGCCUUACACAUGCAAGUCGAACGGCAGCACGGGGCAACCUGGUGGCGAGUGGCGAACGGGUGAGUAAUGCAUCGGAACGUGCCAUUGAGUGGGGGAUAACGUAGCGAAAGUUGCGCUAAUACCGCAUAUUCUGUGAGCAGGAAAGCAGGGGACCGCAAGGCCUUGCGCUCUUUGUAGCGGCCGAUGUCAGAUUAGCUAGUUGGUGAGGUAACGGCUUACCAAGGCGACGAUCUGUAGCGGGUCGUGAGAGGAUGAUCCGCCACACUGGAACUGAGACACGGUCCAGACUCCUACGGGAGGCAGCAGUGGGGAAUUUUGGACAAAUGGGCGGCAAGCCUGAUCCAGCCAUGCCGCGUGAGUGAAGAAGGCC
rnacentral:rRNA from 1 species